GAAUUUUGGGCAAUGGGCGAAAGCCUGACCCAGCGACGCCGCGUGAAGGAUGAAAUCCCUCGGGAUGUAAACUUCGCAAGAACGGGAAGAAUAAGUAAGAGUUAACAUCUCUUACGAUGACGGUACUGUUUGUAAGCUCCGGCUAACUCCGUGCCAGCAGCCGCGGUAAUACGGGGGGAGCAAGCGUUGUUCGGAAUUACUGGGGGUACAGGGAGCGUAGGCGGUUGGGUAAGCCCUCCGUGAAAUCUCCAGGCUUAACCUGGAAAGUGCAGAGGGGACUGCUCAGCUAGAGGAUGGGAGAGGAGCGCGGAAUUCCCGGUGUAGCGGUGAAAUGCGUAGAGAUCGGGAGGAAGGCCGGUGGCGAAGGCGGCGCUCUGGAACAUUUCUGACGCUGAGGCUCGAAAGCGUGGGGAGCAAACAGG
rnacentral:rRNA from 1 species